rnacentral:rRNA from 1 species
UUGGGAAUCUUGCACAAUGGGGGAAACCCUGAUGCAGCGACGCCGCGUGGAGGAUGACGGGUCUAGGCCUGUAAACUCCUUUUGCACAGAAAGACUUAGGACGGUACUGUGCGAAUAAGGACCGGCUAACUACGUGCCAGCAGCCGCGGUAAGACGUAGGGUCCAAGCGUUGUCCGGAUUUACUGGGCGUAAAGAGCGCGUAGGCGGUCUGUUAAGUGAGAAGUGAAAUCUCCAGGGCUCAACCCGGAAACUGCUUUUCAUACUGGCAGACUUGAGGGAUGCAGAGGUGAAUGGAAUUCCUGGUGUAGCGGUGAAAUGCGUUGAUAUCAGGAGGAACACCCAUGGCGAAGGCAGUUCACUGGGCAUCAUCUGACGCUGAGGCGCGAAAGCGUGGGUAGCAAACA